UUGUCUGAGGAGCGCUGCGACGGGACGCCCGCCAGGCUCAGAUCAUGGCACUUACAUACAACGGCGCUCAGUCAUU
rnacentral:ncRNA from 2 species